CUUGCAUCCAAGAAACACUGGCUUCCUGUUUCUUCCUCCUUUAAAGUGUUUAUAUCUCCGUCUUCCGCCAUGUUGCUCAUGCCUUCCCCACCCCACAUGGUCAGCAGAAUUCAGUCAGAGAAGUCUGACUCCAUGCUCAACUCUGAGCCACUCUGCCGUGUGUGAGGGAGUCAGAAGCACAGCUGGUCCCCAGAGGCUGAGAAGUGGGAUGGCACUUGCCAGGCAGGAGGCUGAGGGCCAACCCCUGGAUCCUGAUGGCACAUUGGAGGUGACCAGGAAGCAUCCGUGGGCCUUCCGUUCUCCAUACACACUUCCACCCUGGCCCCUCUCCUUAGCCCGGUCUCCAUCCUGGGCAGUUCUCAGGACACACACCGAGGAGCAAGCGUCGCCACAUUUCUUCUCCCCAGACUUAUUCUCUGCACCGCGGAGUCCUGGAAUACAAGUUCAUCAUAUGCAAUGAAGAUGGCCUGGGUGGCAGAUGGUGACAUACCAGGAACAGAACCUUCCUCAUUAUUCUGCUAUUAACUGAAUUUACCUUUAGACUUGUCAUCCCCUUGAAGUGACAGAAACUUAACUUUGGUUACUUUGGGGUCUCCUCACUCUCCCCAGGUAGCACCUUGGUACCAGAGGCUUAAGCCACACCAGGUGUAUUUGGGGGCCAAUCACGGCUGGCUCCUGUGUCCCGUGGACACCUGCUGACUGCUCUGCCAACCCACUUGUUCUUCCUGUCUCCCCUCCCCCACAGUUCUUCUUCCUGCCUAGAAAGGUCUAGAAGCCUGGGUUGCUGCUUAUUCCAUGCUGUGCUGGGACCAUCCUUCCUGGCCAUCACUCCACUCUGCAGGACCACUAUCCCAGGCUGACUGUUGCCCAAGCACCCUGGACAGCAGGCAUGGCCGUUUCCUCUGUGGGUCCUCCUGCCCCCGGGACAUACAUGCUGGAAGGCAGCUCAGGAAUCCCCCACAUCUGCACAGGGUUUGCUCAGGCCCUGGGCUCUUGGCUUGGGCUUGGUUGUCCUUCGGGGGGUCUCCUGACUCAGAGUGAAACUGCACUCUCCGGCUCUUGCUAAAGCCAGGCCUGAA
rnacentral:lncRNA from 1 species